GAUGAACGCUGGCGGCGUGCCUAAUACAUGCAAGUCGAGCGGUAACACUUCGGGUGACGAGCGGCGGACGGCUGAGUAGCGCGUAGGAACGUACCCCAAAGUGAGGGAUAACUGCUCGAAAGAGUAGCUAAUACCGCAUGUGCUCUACGGAGUAAAGCUUUAUGCGCUUUGGGAACGGCCUGCGUAUGAUUGGCUUGUUGGUGAGGUAGUGGCUCACCAAGGCGACGAUCAUUAGCUGGUCUGAGAGGAUGAUCAGCCAGACUGGGACUGAGACACGGCCCAGACUCCUACGGGAGGCAGCAGUAGGGAAUUUUCCACAAUGGGCGAAAGCCUGAUGGAGCAACGCCGCGUGCAGGAUGAAUGCCUUUGGGUUGUAAACUGCUUUUAUCUGUGACGAUUUUGACGGUAGCAGAUGAAUAAGGAUCGGCUAACUCCGUG
rnacentral:rRNA from 1 species